ACUCCUACGGGAGGCAGCAGUGGGGAAUAUUGCACAAUGGGGGAAACCCUGAUGCAGCCAUGCCGCGUGUGUGAAGAAGGCCUUCGGGUUGUAAAGCACUUUCAGUAGGGAGGAAGGUAGUGUAGUUAACACCUGCAUUAUUUGACGUUACCUACAGAAGAAGCACCGGCUAACUCCGUGCCAGCAGCCGCGGUAAUACGGAGGGUGCGAGCGUUAAUCGGAAUUACUGGGCGUAAAGCGCAUGCAGGCGGCCUGUUAAGUCAGAUGUGAAAGCCCGGGGCUUAACCUCGGAAUUGCAUUUGAAACUGGCAGGCUAGAGUCUUGUAGAGGGGGGUAGAAUUUCAGGUGUAGCGGUGAAAUGCGUAGAGAUCUGAAGG
rnacentral:rRNA from 1 species